ensembl:lncRNA
CCAUUUAACCCGAAAAUCAUGUGUUUUCUCAAAUCCCACAUUUAAGCGAAAAUCACGCGAUUUCUCUUCGCAAAUCCCCCAAUUAACCCAAAAAACCACGAGUUUUCUCUUCCGAAAUCCCCCAUUUAACCAGAAACCACACGUUUUCCCUUCGCAAAACCCCCAUUUAAGCGAAAAUCUCGCGUUUUCUCUUUGAGAAUCGUCAAUUUAAGUGAAAAUCAAGCGUUUUCUCUUUGAGAAUCCCCCAUUUAAGUGAAGAUCAUGAAUUUUCUCUUCUCAAAUACCCCAUUUAAGCGAAAAUCACGCGUUUUCUCUUCGGAAAUCCCCCAUUUAACUUGAAAAUCACGUUUUCUCUUCGAGAAUCCAACAUUUAAGCGAAAAUCACGUGUUUUCUCUUCGAGAAUCCAACAUUUAAGCGAAAAUCACACGUUUUCUCUUCGCAAAUCCCCCAUUUAACUUGAAAAUCACGCGUUUUCUCUUCGGAAAUCCCCCAUUUAAGCGAAAAUCACGCGUUUUCUCUUCGAGAAUCCAACAUUUAACCAGAAAAUCAUGUGUUUUCUCAAAUCCCCCAUUUAAGCGAAAAUCACGCGUUUUCUCUUCGCAAAUCCCCCAUUUAACCAGAAAACCAAGCAUUUUCUCUUCGAGAAUCCCCCAUUUAACCCGAAAAUCAUGUGUUUUCUCAAAUCCCACAUUUAAGCGAAAAUCACGCAUUUUCUCUUCGCAAAUCCCCCAAUUAACCCAAAAAACCACGAGUUUUCUCUUCCGAAAUCCCCCAUUUAACCAGAAAUCACACGUUUUCCCUUCGCAAAACCCCCAUUUAAGCGAAAAUCUCGCGUUUUCUCUUUGAGAAUCGUCAAUUUAAGUGAAAAUCAAGCGUUUUCUCUUUGAGAAUCCCCCACUUAAGUGAAGAUCAUGAAUUUUCUCUUCUCAAAUACCCCAUUUAAGCGAAAAUCACGCGUUUUCUCUUCGGAAAUCCCCCAUUUAACUUGAAAAUCACGCGUUUUCUCUUCGGAAAUCCCCCAUUUAAGCGAAAAUCACGCGUUUUCUCUUCGAGAAUCCAACAUUUAACGAAAAUCACGCGUUUUCUCAAAUCCCCCAUUUAACUUGAAAAUCAUGCGUUUUCUCUUCGCAAAUCCCCCAUUUAACCAGAAAACCAAGCAUUUUCUCUUCAAGAAUCCCCCAUUUAACCCGAAAAUCAUGUGUUUUCUCAAAUCCCCCAUUUAAGCGAAAAUCACGCGAUUUCUCUUCGCAAAUCCCCCAAUUAACCCAAAAAAACACGAGUUUUCUCUUCCGAAAUCCCCCAUUUAACCAGAAAUCACACGUUUUCCCUUCGCAAAACCCCCAUUUAAGCGAAAAUCUCGCGUUUUCUCUUUGAGAAUCGUCAAUUUAAGUGAAAAUCAAGCGUUUUCUCUUUGAGAAUCCCCCAUUUAAGUGAAGAUCAUGAAUUUUCUCUUCUCAAAUACCCCAUUUAAGCGAAAAUCACACGUUUUCUCUUCGGAAAUCCCCCAUUUAACUUGAAAAUCACGCGUUUUCUCUUCGAGAAUCCAACAUUUAACCAGAAAAUCAAGCGUUUUCUCAAAUCCCCCAUUUAAGCGAAAAUCACGCGUUUUCUCUUUGCAAAUCCCCCAUUUAACCAGAAAACCAAGCAUUUUCUCUUCAAGAAUCCCCCAUUUAACCCGAAAAUCAUGUGUUUUCUCAAAUCCCCCAUUUAAGCAAAAAUCACGCGAUUUCUCUUCGCAAAUCCCCCAAUUAACCCAAAAAACCACGAGUUUUCUCUUCCGAAAUCCCCCAUUUAACCAGAAAUCACACGUUUUCCCAUCGCAAAACCCCCAUUUAAGCGAAAAUCUCACGUUUUCGCUUUGAGAAUCGUCAAUUUAAGUGAAAAUCAAGCGUUUUCUCU